rnacentral:tRNA from 1 species
GCUCCAUUGGCCUAAUGGUAAGGCGUCCGCCUCCUAUUUCUCCCUGAUCUGGGUUACGGUUUGUGAGCGGAAGACUGCGGGUUCGAGUCCCGUGUGGAGUG